rnacentral:rRNA from 1 species
GAUAAACGCUGGCGGCGCACAUAAGACAUGCAAGUUGAACGGACUUAAUCGAAAUAUUUAUAUUUUGAAGCGGUUAGUGGCGGACUGGUGAGUAACGCGUAAGGAACCUGCCUAUUAGAGGGGAAUAACAGUGAGAAAUCAUUGCUAAUACCGCAUAUGCCAUAGAUAUCACAUGAUAACAGUGGGAAAGGAGCAAUCCGCUAAUAGAUGGCCUUGCGUCUGAUUAGAUAGUUGGUGGGGUAACGGCCUACCAAGUCGACGAUCAGUAGCCGGACUGAGAGGUUGAACGGCCACAUUGGGACUGAGAUACGGCCCAGACUCCUACGGGAGGCAGCAGUCGGGAAUAUUGCACAAUGGAGGAAACUCUGACGCAGUGACGCCGCGUAUAGGAAGAAGGUUUUCGGAUUGUAAACUAUUGUCGUUAGGGAAGAGAAAGGACAGUACCUAAGGAGGAAGCUCCGGCUAACUACGUG